rnacentral:rRNA from 1 species
GUCCACGCUGUAAACGAUGAAUACUAGGUGUGCGGGGACUGACCCCCUGCGUGCCGCAGUUAACACAAUAAGUAUUCCACCUGGGGAGUACGAUCGCAAGGUUGAAACUCAAAGGAAUUGACGGGGGCCCGCACAAGCGGUGGAUUAUGUGGUUUAAUUCGAAGCAACGCGAAGAACCUUACCAAGGCUUGACAUUGAUUGAACGCUCUAGAGAUAGAGAUUUCCCUUGGGGACAAGAAACAGGUGGUGCAUGGCUGUCGU